rnacentral:rRNA from 1 species
UACGUAGGGGGCGAGCGUUGUCCGGAUUUAUUGGGCGUAAAGAGCUCGUAGGCGGUUCGAUAAGUCGGAUGUGAAAUCUCCACGCCCAACGUGGAGGGGCCAUUCGAUACUGUCGUGACUCGAGUCCGGUAGGGGAGUGUGGAAUUCCCGGUGUAGCGGUGAAAUGCGCAGAUAUCAGGAAGAACACCCGUGGCGAAAGCGGCUCUCUGGAACGGUACUGACGCUGAGACGCGAAAGCGUGGGGAGCGAACAGG